CCAUGUGGUCGGGAACAUCCUCCGGGGGGCUGGGUGUGGUCAGGGCAGGUCUCCCCACUUCUCCAUCCUCAGCACCUCAACCAGCAGUGCACAUCACAGUAGCCCAAUGGGGUGAUAGACGGCACCCAUGAGGGGCCGCAAAGAUGAGGCCUCAACUCUCUUUUUCAGACUCUGAGAAGCCAACAAUACUCCCCAGAAGGGGUGGCCUUUGCUCACACCAUGGGGAACCAGGGAGGCUGCUCCUCCCAGAAGGACCUGGAAGGGCGGUUCCAGAGAGCCCUGGCUCGCGUGUCCAAGUUCUUCAGGAGAGCAUGCUGAACAGUCCGAGGCUGAGCCCACAGGAGUCCAAGACACGGGGCCACCACAGAGAGCAAGACCUUCUUCGGUCCAGGCCCCUCCUCUCCCAAGAAUCUUGUUAAUGAGGUUGAAAUAAAGGCCGGUGUGCUUUACAAUG